CGGGGUGAGUAACACGUGGAUAACCUACCUAUAAGACUGGGAUAACUUCGGGAAACCGGAGCUAAUACCGGAUAAUAUAUUGAACCGCAUGGUUCAAUAGUGAAAGACGGUUUUGCUGUCACUUAUAGAUGGAUCCGCGCCGCAUUAGCUAGUUGGUAAGGUAACAGCUUACCAAGGCAACGAUGCGUAGCCGACCUGAGAGGGUGAUCGGCCACACUGGAACUGAGACACGGUCCAG
rnacentral:rRNA from 1 species